rnacentral:tRNA from 1 species
GAGUUACUAACUCAAUCUGGUAGAGUAUUCGGCUUUUAACCGACUAGUUCUGGGUUCAAAUCCCAGGUAACUCA